UACGUAGGCAGCGAGCGUUGUUCGGAAUUACUGGGCGUAAAGAGUGUGUAGGCGGUGCUCUAAGUUCGGUGUGAAAUCUCCUGGCUCAACUGGGAGGGUGCGCCGGAAACUGGAGUGCUUGAGCGUGGGAGAGGAAAGCGGAAUUCCUGGUGUAGCGGUGAAAUGCGUAGAGAUCGGAAAGAACACCAACGGCGAAAGCACUCUGCUGGGCCGACACUGACACUGAGAGACGAAAGCUAGGGGAGCGAAUGGG
rnacentral:rRNA from 1 species